GUUUAUGGCCAUGUCACUCCGAACGUGCUCGAUCUUGUCAGAUCUCAGAAGCUAAGCAGGGUCUGGCCUAGUUAGUACUCGGAUUGGAGAACACCUAGGAAUACCAGGUGCUGUAGUCA
ensembl:rRNA 5S_rRNA 5S ribosomal RNA